GGCUUACCAAGGCGACGAUACGUAGCCGACCUGAGAGGGUGAUCGGCCACACUGGAACUGAGACACGGUCCAGACUCCUACGGGAGGCAGCAGUAGGGAAUCUUCCGCAAUGGGCGAAAGCCUGACGGAGCAACGCCGCGUGAGUGAUGAAGGGUUUCGGCUCGUAAAACUCUGUUAUUAGGGAAGAACAUAUGUGUAAGUAACUGUGCACAUCUUGACGGUACCUAAUCAGAAAGCCACGGCUAACUACGUGCCAGCAGCCGCGGUAAUACGUAGGUGGCAAGCGUUAUCCGGAAUUAUUGGGCGUAAAGCGCGCGUAGGCGGUUUCUUAAGUCUGAUGUGAAAGCCCACGGCUCAACCGUGGAGGGUCAUUGGAAACUGGGAAACUUGAGUGCAGAAGAGGAAAGUGGAAUUCCAUGUGUAGCGGUGAAAUGCGCAGAGAUAUGGAGGAACACCAGUGGCGAAGGCGACUUUCUGGUCUGUAACUGACGCUGAUGUGCGAAAGCGUGGGGAUCAAACAGGAUUAGAU
rnacentral:rRNA from 1 species